GUCGGAUUAGCUAGUUGGUAGGGUAACGGCCUACCAAGGCGACGAUCCGUAGCUGGUCUGAGAGGACGACCAGCCACACUGGGACUGAGACAUGGCCCAGACUCCUACGGGAGGCAGCAGUGGGGAAUAUUGGACAAUGGGGGAAACCCUGAUCCAGCGACGCCGCGUGUGUGAAGAAGGCCUGCGGGUUGUAAAGCACUUUUAGUGGGGAUGAAAAGCUCAGGGCGAAUACCUCUGGGUCUUGACCUAACCCACAGAAAAAGCACCGGCUAACUCUGUGCCAGCAGCCGCGGUAAUACAGAGGGUGCGAGCGUUAAUCGGAAUUACUGGGCGUAAAGCGAACGUAGACGGUUGGAUAAGUCGGAUGUGAAAGCCCCGGGCUCAACCUGGGAAUUGCAUUCGAGACUGUUCAGCUAGGGUGCGGAAGGGGGAAGCGGAAUUUCCGGUGUAGCGGUGAAAUGCGUAGAUAUCGGAAGGAACACCAGUGGCGAAAGCGGCUUCCUGGCCCAGCACCGACGUUCAGGUUCGAAAGCAUGGGGAGCA
rnacentral:rRNA from 1 species